rnacentral:SRP_RNA from 1 species
GGGAGCUCAGCGCGCUCCUGUGACCGUAGCUUGCGGAUCCUAUAAAGUUGUGGGAUAGUGAGGAUUCUGGAAAGAGGGUAGAUGCUGCCAUGUCGAUGGACUGCCCACCUCAGAUCGGGGAUCCAACAUCGAUAACUAUCAGUAGUGAAGUUGUCGAGGUUGUUAGAGAAAGAGGGAACGCCUGAGGCCGGAAACGGAGCAAGGAAAACUCUUCGUCUUCGAUUAGUUGAGGGGAACACGGUCUUGAGUGGGGCCUA